UUUGCUGGCCUGGGUUUUUUGUUUGUUUGUUUGUUUUUUGUUUUUUUCAGCCAGCUUAGGACAUCCUCUUCUUUUUAGAGAUCAGAAAAUAUUUGGAUUUUUUUUUAGAAUGUUAGAUGUUUUAUACAUAUAUGUAUUUUCCCAAAUAAUCAAUUAUUUCUCUCAAACUGUUUAUCAAAUGAUAUUUUUGCUUCCAGUGUUUCAGAAUGGCACCUUUCUCCUGGGUUUUAUUUCAUAAUUGCUUGUUUUUUAAUGAGCAUUAUAUGUUCAGUCACCUCUUUGAGGAUACUGAAGUCUCUUUCUGGUUGCUCUUUUCUUUUCACUUCAUUUGAUAUGAAUCUGUCUCUAGACUGUUGAUGCUGUUGGCUGCCUUUCUCAGUGUGAGUUUUCGUGUAGUUUGGAACUCAGCCUCCAGGUUCAUUUUUCGUUAUUUUCUCUCUCUGCCUCCCUUCUCUGUUCUUCACUCUUUUCUUCCAGUGACUGAGCAUUUACCCUCCCUGGGGUCUGUCCAGAGUGAGGUCUCCUGGGCAGCCAGGGCUGCUGCCCUGCUAUGACCCUGAGGAUGACUCAGGGCAGGAGGAGGCUGGGUCAGGUCUACACGCAGACCCGUUUUGGUGUCCAGGGGCGUCCCUAUCCAUCUAUUUUCUUGAAGAGGGUAGGGAGAGGCCAGUCACAGCUUCUGGAAUUUUGAUCAGUGAACAUGACUCUGGUCCCCCACCUCAAGUGGGCAAUUUAAUUCUUUUUCAUCACUUGACAGACCUUGAAUUCCUAGCUGUCCUUAACUGUAUCUAGACGCAGAGCUCCACAGAUCACAGCUUCAGCCCUAUUCAUUUUUUGCAUUUAUAUCCCAUUUCUGAGAAUACCUAUGGGGAUAUUCUUCCCUUGUUGAACAUAGAGUUUUAUUUUCUCCAAUAGUUUAUUCAUCGUUGCUUUGCAUGGUAGCCUCUGGGCUACCAUGUGCUCCAGUUUGUUUCCCUUCUUCUGAUGCACCCAUUUUCUCAGUGGCACAGCAAGGUGAUCUAAACUUAGAACUGCACCAGCCUCUUUUGCUGUUCUGUUUCCCUCACGUGUCUGUGUCUUUUGUGCAAGCAUUAAUUGUAGCUUUAUGCUCCAUGCUAGGGGGCUGCUCUGACCAGUUCCUCCAAAAGUUCUGAUAACUUCCUCAAGGCUAGAUCAGGUAGGAGGCUCUAUACUACAGCAGUUACCCAAGAUGAGGAUGGGGAAAGUGGUGCUCUUUCCUACCCAACCUGAGGAUGCAUGCAAGGGGCCCUGGGAUGGCAGUUUUAGGAUAGGAGGAAGGUUUCUGCUUGGGCUUCCAUGCCAACAUUUCUGUACAGAUCUCAAGCCAGGCUGGAUCCAGCACGAGGGUGGAUGUGAGAGCAAACACUGGGAGCUGGAGAUGGUCCCUGGAUGGACAAACAAGUUUCAUAUGUCAUGGGUGUAUAUGAUAGCAGGAUGCAGCUGAGGCAUUAUGUAGCCAUGUCCUUGGGACCCAGUGAGCAAAUCACCCAAUAUUCCAAAUCCACUCUGGUCUGAGUGAGCCCGGGAUUCCCAGUUGCUUCCAGAUAGAGGCAGGGCUCAUGCAUGGCUCCAGUUUGUUUCCCUUCUCCUGCUACACCCAUUUUCUCAGUGGCACAGCAAGGUGAUCUAAACUUAGAACUACACCAGCCUCUUUUGCAAUAUAAAUAGAACCAGGGCUCCUGCUCGAGUCCCCUCUUGGCUAUGAAUUGAGAGGCAGUAGGGAGCAGCCUCUGCCCCACCCAAAGGCCCUGGCUCCCCUUGAGCAGUCUGUGCUCAGGCCCAGUGGAGCUGAGGAGCAGACAUGAGCUGGCUUCCCUCACACCAGACACACUGGGCUACCUGCUUGGUCAGACUGGGCACCAGUGAAAGUUUGUCCCAGAGGCCAGUUCUUCCUGGAACUGAGUGUCAUUUCAGGACAGAGAAUGUCAGGAGUCAUAACUUGGCCCUGCAGCAAAUGAAAGUCUUCCAAUCCUGCCUGAGAUGGCAGACUGCUUAGCUUGGGCCUUUGGCCUGAGUUAGGAUUGCAGUUCCAUGGGGAGUUGCUGGAAAUCCCACCAGGGGGAGCCCCUUCCACAUCUUGCCCCAGUGAGUCUCCGUCAGCCUCCCAGAGUAUUUGUGUGGGUGCACACUGAUGUAGUUUUUAUAUGAUACAACAUUGAACCAUGCCUCUAUUUUCCUAACUCACAUAUUAAACUUGAUCUACUGCCAUGGUUCAGGUUCUAUUGUGCUUCAGAUAAGAGUAGUUAUGACUGUAGUUACGUAACAUUACAGGCAUAUGUUGCAGUGUGGGGUGAGAGAGAAACGAGAGUGAUGUAUCUUCACUUGCCAAAUACUGCUUUGUCCACCCCACCUGGUAACCAAGGUUCUGAGAAUGUUCUGAAGCUUCAGAGUCCCAGACAGUUGGAGGAGAGAGGCACGGGAGGUGGAUCAGUAUGUCGGGUGCUUGAUGGGCUCCACUGCUCUCAGGCAGGCAUCCCCACUAGAACAGAUAGCCCUGGCUACCAACAAAUUCUCCCUUUCCAUUCUUGCCUUGUGCUCUGGAGACCACGGGUGGGGCGGUUCAAGGAGUGCUCAAGGAAGACACUGCUUGGGCGAGGAUGCUGUGGUCACAUCUGAGGAAGGGAGGUGGCUAACCCUGCCUCGUGUGUGCUGGAGAGCAACUAGGGGCAGCAAGCCCGGUGACAGCUGGCAGAGAGACUGAGCAGCGCAAGUAGGGGCAACCUUUCCAGCUUUAACUGCUCAGAUAGCAGACAGUCUGGCUCCCUAUAAAGCACCACAGGCUCCCCUGCCUGGGUUAAAACACUGUAGGGUUGUGCUGUUAGAAGUGGUCAAGUAAGUCAGGGGGAAUUCAGGGUCAUGGGGCUUGUAAUUCUCUGGUGCAGGCUGAGAAAAUGCCAAGCUCUCCCAGGAAAAGUAUCAUGUUCCACAGAGCGCUGCCCACGUUGCAGGCCUUUUUCCCCAGUAGAUCAGAAGAAAAGAGAGAGUAGAACAAAGGAGAACAGUGACUAAGCAAUUCUCCAGCACAAGAAAGGCAAGAGUUGGAGACUUACUGAUGAAGAGGUCCCUUCAUGGUCACCAAAAAGGUGUUGCCAGAAUGGUGUCUCUUAAAAGUGGACAGCCAGAGUGAAGAAGCCAGAUAAAGAAGAGUACAUCCUUCAUGAUGUCACGUAUAUGAAGGUGUAGAAAAUGCAAAUUAAUCUAUAGUGUUGGCUACAUUUCCCAGCCUCCUUUCAAACGGGUGUGGUCACAUGACCAAAUUCUCUCCAGUGGAAGGCUUUUCCCCUUUCUUUGUGGCAUUUACAGACUAGCUGCCCUCACUGGAAAUUGAGGCCACCUCAUCCAGGGCCACAUGCAGCAGGAUUCCACCAGUGCUGCUGUCACUGCUGUCAUCCCCACCAGGUCGGAGGCUCUGAUCCCAGAGUUGGUACAGGUAGUAUUUUAAGAGUGAGUUCCAAAAAUGUAAGCUGAGUUUCCCUGGUUCUUUCUAGUCUACACAGAUGCGCAAAUGGGGCUACCAUAAGGUAGUAAGCCAAAUUUCAGUGUCUCUUCCAAACCCCUAAAAGCCUCCUUCUCUGUCCAAGUACUGCUGGGCUCUUAGGAAAGUCUUACAGACACUCAUAAAUCCAGUCAUCCAGGUAUACUUUCAUUUUGCUCCUGCGAGCAUCGCCCCCAAUGAAUAAGUUCUCAAGGUACAAAAUCCCAUACUGGGGUAUGUCUGUACCCAGGGGGGAAAGGUCUUUCCCUCUCUUUCAUGUUCCACUUCAUUAGAGGGCUGCCCAAGCAAUGCCUGUGCGCUCCAGGGUCUUACAGAACUUCUGGAACUGCAGAUUCAUAUUGACAUUCAGUCUUCCUUUUGCCUGGGAAGGAGGACUAGAGAUGGUGACAAAUUACAUCCACUUACUCUUUAAUUCAACAAAUACUUCCUGAAUUCCUUUUCCAUGCUAGCCAUGUGGUACAAGAUACAUGUGGUCUCUGUACCCAUGGAGUUUACAGCCUGUUGCAAGACGAAAACAAAACACACAACAAAAGUCACUUAAAAUUUUACAUUCAAGACUUUGUUAUUGGGUCCAGUUCAUUGUGGAUGAUUGCUGCUUCUGCUUGGGUGAGUUUUGCGCAUGAAGCUUGGCAACCCUCAGGCAAAUAGAUGCUGACAGUCUGCCUUACCAUGUGGGGCACAACCCCUCCUUAUCCCAUGGGGCCUCAUGCAGGAGAUUAAUCCUUGCUGUGCUAAAAUUGUCUGAUUUUUUUUUCACACUUAGUGACAGUUAAAGAAAAACAUGAACUGUGUUUUCCCAAGAGCUUUCUCCCUACCAUUCCACACCAUGGUUCCUAAACUCUCCAUUUCCUGAAGCAAAACUGGAUAGCAAAGAGAAUGGCCUGGUGGCUGUGAUAUUAACACUGUAAGAGGAGGCCAAGGAUUUGUUAACCCUGGCAGAAGAGGGAGGCAGGCCAGUGCAGACAUGGGGAGGUAGGAAAUUUUGAGAGAAGGUGAAAGGAAGGCUCACAGAGGGGGAAGUGGAAGGUUGAAGAAAGAAGUACGGGAGGAACUGAGGGAGGUCUUGGAGGCACAUUCUCUGUCGGCCUAGGAAACCCCACACAGAGAUAAACCGAAGUUCUGGGCAGCAGGUACAUGGCAGGGAGCACCUAGUGCAUCCCUCUGAGACUCUAUACUGUUUGGAUUUGGGCCUUGAAAACCUUGAGUACCAAUCUUCCUUGGGGUUUUACAUGAGAAUGAAAAGUCUCCCCAGCUACCAAAUAACACAUGAAGGAGAUGUAUUCUUACCUCACUUUCUAUGGAAAUGAAAGGAUCUCAUAGAAAACAUCCAGUGAACAAACAGUAAGACUGAGAGACCCUUUGCUUCUCAUCCUCUCCCAGGUCUCCCCACUGCACAUCUGUCUCCAUGUAGCCCAGAGAAACUAAACUCAGUUUGGUGGUCAUCCGGGGUUGAAAUCCAGCAUGGAAUAUUAGCUUCCUGUCCAAGAAAAUCCAGAUAUAUAAUUUUUUACACCAUUAAAAUGUCAGAUUUCCUUUCUUAUUUUCUCCCAUUCAAGUACUAACCAAUCUCAACCCUGCUUAGCUUCUGAGACCAAAAGAGAUUGGGAGUGUUCAGGGUGGUAUGACUGUAGACACCUUUUUUAUUUUCUUACUUUCUGGUUCUGUGGCUUGGAAUACAGAAACUUUCAGUCCCUCCUUUUGUGAAGCGUCUAUUGAUCAGGAAACAUACCCUAUAAUAACAUUAAGACAAUAUAUUACCUGAUGGGUUCAUGUGAUUAUUUCCUCAAGUGAGAGAUUCUUUCAUAAUUUGAAUAAUUUGAUUCUAUGAGUAGAGUGUUCUGUAAAUGAUGUUAUAAAGUAAGUUCAACGACUUAAAAGGCCCAUCCCAUUAAAGGGAGGAUAGAUCUCGGUAGAGAAAUUUCCUCCUCUGCCUUGUACCUCUAACCCCUCACUACUCCAUACAGGGUUUUUGUGGAACACAUAGGCCACGCCUUACUCCAGGUGGGCACCUCGUCAAGACUGGAGGAAUACCUGCAGGCGGUGGCAGCUACACUGAAUGUGGCCCCUGCUGUGGUCAGUGGCAAAUGGUCAGGCAACUCCUCCAGUGGAGAAGUUUGAACGCUGUUUUCCAGAGACAUGAUGUAAACUUCAAGCCUCGGCUGGUGAUCAAGUUGUGUAGUGUAGUGUAGUUGUGUAGGUUGUGUAGUGGUGGCAAACUAUCUAUAAUGAAGGGAGGGACUCCAGCAGUACAGAGAAGGAGGUGUGCCACUUGUAUCACUAUUGCCCUCAGAUCAGGGGGCAGGUCAUUAUGAAGUUCUUGAGUAAUGCAUGAGAUGAAUGCAUUAUAGAUGGGCAUUCUCCUCAGGUGAAUGUAUCAUAGAUGGGAGUAUAGUCUAUGGCAUGAUGCCUAAAAUUAGGCAAUUAGAAGUCUCAGGUUGUCACUUUUUUUCAUUUGUUUGUGUUUUGUUUUUGUUUUUAAUUUCAGAGAGAGCGGGAGAGAGAGAGAGAG